rnacentral:lncRNA from 1 species
AUACUCGAAUAUGUAACUAUAGCAUAUUGCUGUCAUACACGGUGUCUCAUAUUGAAUUAUUUCUUUUGUUGUCCAGCCUUGCAGCAACCCUGAUUGUCUAUAUUUGCAUGAGAUUGGUUCACAAGAGGAUAGUUUUACUAAGGACGAAAUAAUAUCCGCUUACACAAGGUGUUUUCAUAUUGUUAUGCACCCAGUUAUAUAUUUUCAUUUUCAUUAUAUGCUUUUGGAUCUAUGGUGAAAGUAGUAAAUUUUUCAUGUGGACCUUUUAGUCUUGUUUACUUAGAAUGCAAUCGCCGAUGUUUUUGGUAUCUGCCCAUCCCUUCGGGCCAACCUUUUAAGUCUUUAUUCAUCAUCAGCUUGUUGCAUAAUGAUCAAACAUCAUGCAAUUAUCUAUUGGUUGAUUCAUUUAUGGACUUUUUUAAGUCAUUAGUCAAUGUACAAUGAAAUAAAAUGUUGUUUGGUACGUGUAAUGUUUGAAAUUUCAUUGAUCAUCAAUUCAAGGUUUGAGAUGCCUCUAUGAGUCUCAAAUGAGAAUGUCAUGAUUGUCAUCUCAACAUUUAUAGAGUAACAAUUGAAGUUCUAAGUGGCACCUGUUUUUCCUGGCAAAGACUGAAUUAGUACAGUAUAUUUUUAUUAUUUUUGCCCUGGGUUACAUGUUGACUGAAGACUCCAUUUCCUAUGCAGUUUUCUUGAAACCCCAAUUACAAUGUUUUUUCUUGGAGCUUAUCUUGAGUCGAAAACUUGAUUUUUGUUUAUGGAUGAAAAUUGUGGUUUUGCCCUCUCAAUUGGUAGUUUCUUAAUUUGUUGAGGAGUUUUGUUUUGUUAAUCUAAAUUUGGAGUUUAAUAUGUGUGCGCGCCGGUGCGCAUGCGCUCAAGUUUGUAUGUUUUAGGGGUGAGGGGGCGGGGAUAUUUUUAUUAUUUUUAUAUGCAAGAGUAUUUGGAAAAGAUGCAUUCUUACAUAUCAGUUUUUGUUCCUUUUUCUCCUAGCUAAUUUUCUUGUUUUUGUGGUGUUCUGUAUCUCCAAUUAUAUCAUGUUCAGCUUUUUGUUGGAUUUUUUUAUUGGUUCUUCUGGAUAACUUAGCUAAUGAUUUUAAAGGAGUAGAGUUCAACAAAUUAUUGGUGCAACAAAUAGUGUGCAACGGCAUUCAGGAAGUGCGUUACCACCCCCAGCAGAUGACUACUGCAGUGGCAGCUACGUUUCUUCCGGGAAGCCUUUAAGUAAAACUGCUACAUAUACAAAUGUAAGAUUCUCAUUUUUUACCAAACUAUCUGACUUUUUACAAACUUUGACGCUGUGAAGAGUCUUCAAAAUACAUUCUGGAAAUAUUUCAGUUGUCGUUUGUUGUACAAACAUAUGCACAUCUAUUAUAUGGUACUGUUCUGUGGAAUUUUAGUUUGUAUUUCUUGUGGAAAUGGUGAUCUAAGCAUUGAUUGCUGCUGAAAUAUCCAGAUUUUUUUCCCUGCUAACAAAAAUUUUCUUCCUGAACAGAAUUCGGUGAAUGAUGCUAGAGUUUCUCCACCAAAUAGCAGCUCUGGUAGAUCUGCUGCUCUACCUAGUGGAGCCUCAUGGUAUGUCAAUUACUGAUCUGUAGUCUCUUUCAAUUUGUAUAUGAUGCUGUUUCUCAGCAUUCAAUUGUCUUCACUAGGGGGGCUCGUGCUUCCAGUAAUCAACACUUAUCCAAAAGUGUGCCAUGUUCCGAUGGACUACAUAAGCAGAAACUUGAUGCCUGCGAUGGUUCGGGGACAUUUUAUACGGCACUUGCUAGCUCUAGUCAGGUUUCUUUGUUGCAUAGUGACACUGAAAAGAAACUGGUUCCUAGUGAAGAAAGCAACACAAGUCGAGACAAAAGCAAACUGGAAACUGUAGAACCUGUGGAAAAGGAUUCGAGCACAGAUGGCAGAACUAUUUUGAACAGUUCCUCCACGUCUGUACUUUCUGUUACUUCACCUAUAAACAGGCAAAAUGGUCAACCUACAUCUAAGGACCAGGGUAGAGAUGCCAUCAUGCCACCUGGUGCCAAUGACUCAAUUGAUCAAUCCCUAAAGUCUCGUGGAUCUGAUUCAGACGAAGAUACCAACAUAUCUGCGGAUGGAAAAAUUGAAAAUAUAUGCUCUGAAAUUUGUUCAAUGAGCAUUGAUGGACAUCAGCAGUUGCAGAAUGGCUAUGCUGAGCACAUUGGAGAAACGUUGACAUCUCAAACUUCUGGGAAAUCUGCAUUACCGAUUGUUGAGGUUUAUGCCUCAAGUAGUCAGUCUCAGAUGAAAUUGGAAAUGCAGACGCACGCCUCGCAAGUUGACUCGCUUGAAAUGGAAGAUAAUCUAUUAUCUUUUGAAAAACAAAGACUUAAGGAUCCUGAGUUUUCUUCUAACAGAGUCUGUAGACUAGAUUUUUCUCACUCUUUUCAUCUUUCACAGUAUUCUAAUAUUGAUUCUCCACCGCAUGAUAGUGCUGAUGCUUCAGUCGGAGUCAAUGUGGAUAGGCAAAUUGUAUAUUCAAAAGACAAUUUGAUACUUUCAGCUUCUAGUAAUCCUGUUAUGUCAAAUGGACAUCACAAGAAUGAACUCAGUAGUUCUUCUGAGUUAGUGAAUGAUGGUGAAUAUACUUACUUCUUUCCAAGUAAUGAGAACGAAAGUAUACUUUUGGGAAGAUUUGAAGGUGAAGCAGCCAGUCAUAGUCAUCAUGCCACUGAUGAGGGGGAAAGCAGCAUAAUAUCAAAUAUUUUGUCCUUGGACUCUUACUCAUGGGACGAGUCAUUAACUUCACCUAAGCGCCUGUCUAAAUUGUUUCAUGAAACUGACGUACAACAAGGGUCUUUUGGAGUACCUAGUUCACGGAAAAUCCAGAAUAGCAAUCAAUCAAGGUUUUCUUUUGCUAGAGAAGAGGAACCUAUGAACCGAGCAUCGGACUAUGGACCAACUAUCAAUCAUGUCGAGCAAGCCCUUAAGGACCGCUCUUUUGGCAAUGAUUUCACCAACAUCAACAGCUUUCAUAUUGAGAAGUUAGGUUCUCACAAUAGGUUAUCUCCAUUUAAGGGCAUGGAGUCGGAUAAUUUUGCCAGCAGUCACUCUUAUAUCUCUUCUAACAAGCUUUCUGGUGAGUUGCUAUGUAUUCAUAUUAUAUACGGUGGUGUGAAGUUUAUUUUGUUGCUGAUUGUUGUUCGAAGUUUAUUCUUUUUGGACUUGCAUAUGUUUGUAACUUUCUUUAGAUUUUUAUCACAUGAGGGUACUUCAAGUUUCUUUUAAUAUAUUAGAUUUUAGUUGAUGUACCUAUCUCCAUUUCGUGUUAUCUUUUACCUGCCUGCAUUUCUUGAUGGUUUUGAUACUGAUUAGUGUAUUAUGUACUGUGAAUGGCUUUCCUUGUUUGGAAUUAGAGCUUUUAUUUUAUCAAGUUACUUUGAAGAUGCUAACUGCACACAUUUUUUUCUUAUGUAGUGUUCUAUUUUCUUCCCUCAAAAUGUUUUUUUCCUAAUGCCUUUUAACAGUUUCUAGAUCUCAAGUUUCUGCCCCUCCGGGCUUCUCGGUGCCUAGUAGGGCACCUCCCCCUGGUUUUAUUUCUCAUGAGAGGACAGAGCAGAUUUUUGACCCACCCUCUGGUCAGUUAAUUUAUGCCAAGCACUUUCUUGUUUUUGGGCUUCUAUUUCAUGUUAAAAAUCUUGUGUUUGAUUAUGAAUUAUCACUUUAUUAUGUGCUUGUGCAGGAAAUUAUAUGCCCAAUGCUUCGCUUUGGCCAAGAAAUCAGUAUCAGGCACCCCCAACUGGUGAUUCCAUUGAUAAUGGCGAACUUGAGUUUUUGGAUCCUGCGAUUUUGGCAGUUGGCAAAGGGAUGCUUCCUGGUAGACUCAACAGCUCAAGCUUGGAUACCAGAUUAAGUUAUUCUCCACAGUUUACUACACUUGAAGACAUAAGAUUCCAGUCCUUGUCACAAAGAUCAGUUCCUACGCAUCAAAACCAGAGAUAUACAGACCCGGUUGACAAUUUUUCUCCCCUUGGUGACGCUUAUGGAGUUCCCUCUAGGGUAAUGGAGCAAACCCUAGCCAACAACCUGUCCCCAUUUUCCCAGUUCACUCUCCCUCAGCCUAGAAAUGCUAUAACAUCCAAUGGACAAUGGGAUGGGUGGAAUUCGGUGCAGGGUGAGAAUAAUUUAGGUAUGGCAGAGUUACUCAGGAAUGAGAGAUUGGGAUUACCUAAGUACUACAAUGGUUAUGAAGAUUCAAAGAUCCGCAUGCUAAAUUCUGGAAAUCUAUAUAAUUGGGCAAAUGGGAUUUAAAUUUGGUUGAGGAGACUUACUUGGCACAGUUUGAACUGAUAAUACUGGUGAAAUAGGAAGAUCGUGUGUGACUUAGAGAAUGCCUGCUUUAAGGACUUCAAUGCUUGGCAAUCUGAUGACCUGAUCACUGUUAUCGACUAAACAACCUGAGGCCUUGAGCACAGAAAUGAUUGCAUUCGAAGGACAUGAGAGUGAUUCACUAGUAGUCUGAAUGGGUUGCUUUUAAGUUGGUGGAGGAUCAAGCCCUUUCAAAUAGGGAGUCCCAAACCGACAGGUAAAAUAUUGGCUCUCAUUUACAUGGUAAAUCAUGUUGAAUAGUUUAUGAGGCUGUUGUGCAUGUAUAUCGUGGGGAAAUAAUAAGUGAAGUAGAAUACUUGAAAGAAGAUUAGAGGCUAAAUGGUCACUCUUCUUUUUUGUCAAUUGAAAGAUGAAAUUAUUUUAUAUGAGAAAAGGAGGAGCAUUGAGUUUGUUGUACCAUUGUACACUUUCCACAAAGCAAACUUCUGCUGAUGGUUAUAUUAGACUUUGCAGAGAUUCCUUUAACUGAUUUUUUCCCCUUAUCCCCGUGUAUCUUUCUAGUCUUGGGAAGAUUAAAGAAUAGUUCUGAAGAAGUUAUAAACCCUGUAAUCCUAAUCCUUUUUAUACUUGAAAAACACAGAAGUAUAAUUCACCUCUCCCUUUUGCAUUACUCUUGUGGAUCUCAAUUUCCAUGAAACUUACGGAACAACAGAGUUUUGAGAUGUUAAUCCGGACAGGAAUAGGUUUUUUGGUUUGAAAUAUGUGCUCAUAUUAUUCAUUGCUUUUCUUUUUCCACCCAUUUUCAGGUAAAAGGAGCUUGAGAUUCAGGCUUAAUGUGAUGGCAGCACAAGGAAUGUUGUUCACGAUGAAAUCAGAAGGUGAUCAUUUUAUUCGUAAUGCUGAAGCUUGUUAGUUUGUUUGUGAAGUUGAGAAACUAGAGAGGUGAUUGGAAAUAUUUUCUUCAUAAUGACGAAAAUUGAUUUGUGUGGAGGCAAUUUCCGGAAAUGGAAUUAUGUUUACACAGUAUGUUUGCUUAUUUACUUGAGAAUGUACUCAAGAAAAUGAGUUUUCUUAUUUAUUUGUUUUCACAAAAAAUCAAUGAAUACGUCCUAGUGACAUGUUUUUGCCCCUCAUAUUGAAAAAUUUGUAGCUGUAUCAAUGUAUUUUUAGGAAUGCAGUAACUCUGAGUUCAUGUAAAUGGGAUAUUAUGGGACAACAAAAUGCAUAAUAUUCUACCAAAUCAAGUCCAUGUUCAGUUUAGCUAAAAUUGAGAUUUUUAGUAGAUUUUGAUAAAAGUUGUGAGUCUGAUGAAAUGUAUGGUUGAAAAUGAAUUUGAUAAAUAUUAUAAGUUUUAGAA